GACGAACGCUGGCGGCGUGCUUAACACAUGCAAGUCGAACGGAAAGGCCCUGCUUUUGUGGGGUGCUCGAGUGGCGAACGGGUGAGUAACACGUGAGUAACCUGCCCUUGACUUUGGGAUAACUUCAGGAAACUGGGGCUAAUACCGGAUAGGAGCUCCUGCUGCAUGGUGGGGGUUGGUAAGUUUCGGCGGUUGGGGAUGGACUCGCGGCUUAUCAGCUUGUUGGUGGGGUAGUGGCUUACCAAGGCUUUGACGGGUAGCCGGCCUGGGAGGGUGACCGGCCACCUUGGGACUGAGAUACGGCCCAGACUCCUACGGGAGGCAGCAGUGGGGAAUAUUGCACAAUGGGCGGAAGCCUGAUGCAGCAACGCCGCGUGCGGGAUGACGGCCUUCGGGUUAUAAACCGCUUUCGCCUGUGACGAAGCGUGAGUGACGGUAAUGGGUAAAGAAGCACCGGCUAACUACGUG
rnacentral:rRNA from 1 species